UACAGAGGGGGCAAGGCGUUGUUCGGAAUUACUGGGCGUAAAGGGCGCGUAGGCGGCCUUCUAAGUCGAACGUGAAAUCCCCGGGCUCAACCCGGGAACUGCGUCCGAUACUGGAGGGCUUGAAUCCGGGGAGAGGGAUGUGGAAUUCCAGGUGGUAGCGGUGAAAUGCGUAGAUAUCUGGAGGAACACCGGUGGCGAAGGCGGCAUCCUGGACCGGCAUUGACGCUGAGGCGCGAAAGCCAGGGGAGCAAACGGG
rnacentral:rRNA from 1 species